GUAGAUAUCGAACAAAAUAAAAACAAGCAUACAAAGAGAUAGAAAUUUAUUUUUUCUCAAAGAAGACUCCAAAGUAGAAGCCCUCCAAUGGUGAUGCACAUGGAAGUUGGCCAAAGUCCUUCCCAAAGGAUAUGCUGCCACAGCCUUUUCUUCACAAGAACACUGCUGGCUUCAAACUCGAAGUACGAUCAUACCAACAUCCAGUCAUCUUUGAUUUUUCUACUAGAAUCAUGCUAAGAGAACACUCUUCAAAAAUUUCACAACCUA
rnacentral:lncRNA from 1 species